AGAAAGGAGGAAGAGGCAGGCACAAGACAAAAUGAAUCUCUCCGCUGUGCACAUGGAGCCUUAGCUCUGAUUCCAGUUGAGCAAAAUUAUGAAGAAGAUGAUUCCCCAUAUGGAGGACAGAUAAACACCCUGCGGCGAGUCACUCACUCCCGAAAGGCCCUCUGAAGGAUCGCGCAUGUCCUGACUGCACAGCCUGCUCCUGACAAUGCUCUCAAAGCCACGGUUGUAAUAGAAAGUGGAAAAUUAAAGCAGAUCCGACAAGGUAGGCCAAAAAGAAAUCAGGAAUAAAUGGAUGUUACUACUGCUAGUACUGCUUCUGCUGCCAAGCUUUUGAGCACAUAACCAGGAUGACAACCACAGUUCCACAAAGCUCUGAUAAAACAUCAAAAAGAAACUCACCACCAAGGAAACCAGAGAAUCCUUUCUUGUCUUGAGUGAAUGGCAAUG
rnacentral:antisense_RNA from 1 species